AAUCAGGGACUGGUUUUUGAGAAAAGUAAAAUUUAUCAUUGAAAAAACUGAGUAUUAUGGACAUUUCAUGGAACUGCUGCAUAACAUCCAUAUUUAUCUUUGGCACCUGUGACAUUUGAAGGCAGACUUAAUAAAGCAGACAUGAACAACCUAUCAUCACUGAUAUCCUGCAAACACAGAGUCAAACAGUCAUUCACUGCAAAACACUUCGGAACUCCAUCCCUUUCAAACAGCAAAGUGUUUCCACUGACUGCAUCCACUUUGGUUUGAAUCCUAUGAAGGAGUCUUAUGUUGCAGGCUGCUCGUCAUAAUGCUUAGUAGAACAGGCCAAAGCUUUAAGGACAGAGACUGGCAGCAAUUUGACACACUUAGAAUAAUUGAGUUCACUGGUUUGGGGGCAAAAUUAAGGGGAAAUCAGUGUAGGAUACCAGUAAAAUAGUAUUCCUUGUUUCCUUGUAAUACUUGGUGACAAGCUUCAACCAUCAGGACAAUCCUGCCUGAUAGAAGUGGGCUGCUACAAUUAAUCACACAUGCUGAACUAUGUGUGAAUCUGGAUGUGACUGUCAGGUUGUUAGAACAGAUCAGGACAGGUCAUGUUCUGAAACAUGCCUGAAACCAUGAAAUUUGUUUGUUAAUAAGGUAGUUCCCACAAAAUUCCCUGCUGCCCCUGCAGAGGAAGAGGUUGGUUUUGCCCUGAUAAUAUGACUGCAGUUUGGCCACAGAACUGUCCUCUUCUGUGAUGCUAAUAUUUUCACACUGACAGUUUUGCUCACAACUUAAAUUUGUUCCAGGAGAACAAGUCAGCACAAGUUUUUCUAAAAAGCUGGUGACAAUCCUUAAAUUCAUCAUUACAAUUACAGCGCUGGAGAAAGUGCAAUUUGUACAACCGUACAAGGCUUCUCUGAGGGAUUUUCCCAACACUACAUUCUGAUGUCACUUUUUUUUUCACCUCUACAGUGAAGUUUAGGUUUUGCUGACAGUCGUGCAAUAGCCUUGAAAACAAAAAACUAAAUCAGGUAACAUCUGGAAGUUUCUUUUGGCUGUUUCCAAAUGUGAAAUUGGCAGGAGCUUUUGUUAGAUUUAUUUAAAGUUUGAUUUGAUUGUAGACUAACUGCAAAUACUCUAAUAGAUGCUAUAGAGUAUUUUGGUAAUCUCUGUACAAAUGAAUCU